rnacentral:rRNA from 1 species
UUCAAUACUGUCGUUAAACAUAGUGUGCACUUUUCUCUUAGUAAGACGUUGUGAUCCAUUAGAAAUUGAUAUCUGUAUAGGAUAUUAUUGGGCUAUCAAUAGACUGUUAUGAAGUUCAUCAAUUGGUAAACAGUAAGAUCGUUUAUGAUUUUGCAUAUUAUCUGGUGAGCAUAACAUGUUCUGGUGUAGCUGUCUGAUGGAUUUUAAAGGUUAUAUCAUUAAUGUUACGGCAUUACCCCAUUUAUAUGGGGCAUGUGGAUAUGUACCCGAUCAACAACGGUUAAAUUUGGGAUACCUUUGGGACCCGUCUUGAAACACGGACCAAGGAGUCUAUCUAGUAUGCAAGUAAAUGGGCAUAUGAAACCUAUUUGCGUAAAUAACUUGACUGUAUGGGAUUACGAAUCAAUUAUGGUUCCUCCAUCCCGGGGUAUUUUUAUCAACAUAUAAGCAAUUAUAUGGAAAAUAUACCAUGAGCAUACUGGAUAUGACCCGAAAGAUGGUGAACUAUGCCUGAUCAGGUUGAAGUCAGGGGAAACCCUGAUGGAGGACCGAAGCAAUUCUGACGUGCAAAUCG